AAGCAAGAGCAACAGGUUGGUGUUUGCAUUAGUGUCCCAUUAACUGUAUAGAGGUGACACCACAAAGUAUACGAGUUAAUGCCCGACGAGGUGUCCAAUUAUCAGUAAUGAAUGGACGACGUGGAGAGAGCUUCUGAACACAGAGAGCUUCUGAACCAGCAUAACUAAAUAACAUCGUUUAAGUUAUCACUCAUUUAACUUUUAACCAUGAUUUAGGCUGUUGAUUAAGAGUUAAGUGUUAAACAACACAGAACAGAAGUCCCUAAAGUCCGCUGUCAUUGUGAUGUUUGGCAGUGUUACGUUAUUGCUUUAUUCAUUGUGUAAUUGUUCUGUCCUCUGCCUGCCAACAUUUUAAUAAAAACAGCAGACUAUAAAUC